UACGUAUGGUGCAAGCGUUGUUCGGAAUUACUGGGCGUAAAGCGCGCGUAGGCGGAUUGUCAAGUCGGGUGUGAAAUCCUGGGGCUCAACCCCAGGGCUGCAUCCGAAACUGGCUUUCUGGAGUCUCGGAGAGGCAGGUGGAAUUUCCGGUGUAGCGGUGAAAUGCGUAGAUAUCGGAAGGAACACCAAUGGCGAAGGCAGCCUGCUGGACGAUGACUGACGCUGAGGCGCGAAAGCGUGGGGAGCAAACAGG
rnacentral:rRNA from 1 species